UGCAAGUCUACAAGUCCCCAACCACAGGUCCACAACACUAUCAAGAACAAUAUGGAGAGGAAACCAUCUUUCAAGUUUGCUUCUUUGGUCCUUCUUUUGGCUAUAAUUGCUUGCAUGGCAAUGUGGAACAUGCCGGGAGCUGAAGCAAGGGGAAAACUCCGGUGUCCUGGGAUGAUAGACUGCAGCAGUGUGUGCGAAGGAUUUCCCUGGCGCUGCGUUAAUGGCGAAUGCAUAUGUGAUGGUGGCAACCUUCCUCCCCAACUCCAAGUUGAAGCUAAUUUUCAACCAGACCAGUUGCCAUGAAAUGUGUACAAGGGGAUAAGUUUAUAGUACUAUAUAUGUAACUGUCUGAGUUGAGUAAUAAAGUAACUAAUACCUUUAUUUCAUUGGCAUUAUUGCUUUGCUUCUAAUCUUAGUGAUCAUAAGCAGAUUAAAGGUCACUUAAUCUGAUUACCAAGUAGCAACCACUCGAAAUUCACGUUACGCCAAAGGCAACUAAUCCUUUUCAAUCAUCUGUUCAAAUGCCAUCUAGGGGACUUAAAUCAUUUGUUGAAUCAUUACAAUUCGCCAACCUAUAUGUACACUAAACGAAUUUUCAAACAAUACAAUACUUCCUGCUGAAACAACAUUUUAUUCUGCAGAA